AACCCUUAACUUGCAUGAAGGAAGCCAGGCACCAAAUGGAGUUCCACAUCCUCUCCAGUACUUGGUAUGCCUGUGGUAGCAACAAGUGCAAACAGGCAAUGACCACAUGCUUCAGAUGUUCAGCUAGAGCAGCUUCUGCAGAGUGAGUACCAGAAGCAUCCUCUGUUACCACCAAAGAAGGGCACAGACAUUUGUUAGCGUCCUUUCCCAGAGCAGGAGACUUUAAUCCUCUCUGAAAAAAUGCAAAACAAAAUUAAAUUAGCCUAAUGUUAA